CCCGCGGAUGCCCCGAUUCCCCGCCGGCAGGGUGCGGAGUCCGCUGCCCCGCGGCGGACCCUCUGCCCGGAGCCGCAGACAGCCCCCCGCGAGCGCCGCUCCUGGCGCCGGAGGGCUAGGGGACCGGGUCCCAGUGCCAGCGGGUAGGAGACUGCAGGUACCCGACAACUUACAGCCCAGGGCGGCUACGAGCCUAAAGGUCCAGAUUUUUGGAAAUUCUCUGGCGUGGAGCGAAGCAGUCGAGGUGGCGCUCCUGGGAGAGGGGGUUUGCCGGAUUUGCCUUGGACACGAGGGUUAAAAAAAAAAAAGAAAAAACGAUCAAGAUUCGAGCUGGAAGGCAGGCGUCAGAUUUUAGCAAUAGCCUUGGGCCUUUUUGCGUCUCCAGACCCAGCAAAGCAGGACCAUCACACAAAACAGAUUCUUGGGAAGCUGGACAGAACCACUCCAUGGCUGAUGUCAGGACCAGGUGCAAUGAUCCAUUACCCCCUACCCUAGCACCAACCAGUCAGUGGAGACCACCACCCUAACUCUAUUAGUCACCAGGAUAGAUGAUUUUCCCCCCUUAUUUAAUCCAUCGCCGGAAGCCAUUGGGGAGCCAGGUCUUUGAGCAGUAGCUUGCUUGUGACUCUGGGCAUAGUGCCAUCUCCUUUUUAAUAAAUCCUCACUUUCUUGGCUGC